CAGAGUUGCAAAACUCCCAACCAUUGUGAACCUACCUCACCGUUGCUUCGGCGGGUGGCCUUCUAACUCCAGGCCGCGCCGGCUCCCUCCAGGGGCUGGCAACCCGUCAGAGAACCGAAACUCUUCGUCAUUAUAGGCCUCUCUGAGUAACUUAUACAAUAAGUCA
rnacentral:misc_RNA from 1 species